GACGAACGCUGGCGGCGUGCUUAACACAUGCAAGUCGAACGGAAAGGCCCUGCUUUUGUGGGGUGCUCGAGUGGCGAACGGGUGAGUAACACGUGAGUAACCUGCCCUUGACUUUGGGAUAACUUCAGGAAACUGGGGCUACUACCGGAUAGGAGCUCCUGCUGCAUGGUGGGGGUUGGAAAGUUUCGGCGGUUGGGGAUGGACUCGCGGCUUAUCAGCUUGUUGGUGGGGUAGUGGCUUACCAAGGCUUUGACGGGUAGCCGGCCUGAGAGGGUGACCGGCCACAUGGGGACUGAGAUACGGCGCAGACUCCUAUGGGAGGCAGCAGUGGGGAAUCUUGCACAAUGGUCGGAAGCCUGAUGCAGCGACGCCGCGUGCGGAAUGACGGCCUUCGGGUUGUAAACCGCUUUCGCCUGUGACGAAGCGUGAGUGACGGUAAUGGGUAAAGAAGCACCGGCUAACUACGUG
rnacentral:rRNA from 1 species